rnacentral:rRNA from 1 species
GACGAACGCUGGCGGCGUGCUUAACACAUGCAAGUCGAACGGACAAACUCUUCGGUGGGGAUUCGUGGCGAACGGGUGAGUAACACGUGGGCAACCUGCCCCCGGCCCUGGGAUACUUGCAAGAAAUUGGGGCUAAUACCGGAUGUUCACCGCUUCCCGUAUGGGUGGUGGUGGAAUGGGUGUACGGCUGGGGUUGGUCGCGCGGCCUUUGAGCUGGUCGGCGGGGUAGUGGUCUUCGAAGGCGAGGAGGGGUAGCCGGCCUGGGAGGGGGAACGGGCACACGGGGACUGAGGGAGGGAGCAGACGCCUACGGGAGGCAGCAGGGGGGAAGUUUGCGGAGCGGGCGGAAGCGAGAGGCGGCGGCGCCGCGUGGGGGAUGCCGGCCUUCUGGUGGUAAACCACUGUCAGCGGGGACGAGGCGGAAUUGACGGUACCUGCAGAAGAAGCACCGGCUAACUACGUG